AUAAAAUUGGUCUGGCGAGGAGUUUCUUCUUCUUUUUAUGUCGAUUCAGUCGACCAUCCCAUUGUUCCUGUUCCUUGCGUUGUUCUUCUUCCCGUUCCCGGAGGAAAUCUAAAUACGAAGUGCACUCCUCGCCGUCCCACUCCGUCGACCACCCACCCGGGUACUCCUGCUGCUCCUUUGUUUCUUUUGAUCCACCGGGUUGCUCCUGCUGCUGGUGAUGUUCCCUUGUCGUUUCAUGUCGUACCGGGAAUUCUAACCCCCGGUACUCUUUGUGUGAUUUGAAUAUGUGACGCCCUAAGCGAUGCGCCAACAUAAUAUGCGACUUGUCAUACGGACAAACCGCGAUUUUUUCUAGAACAAAACAAAGUAUGAUAUGUAGCGUUUCCUAUAAAACACACAUUUUUUUUUUUUUAAACAAAACUUCCAAAAAGGGGGGUUAUCAAAUAAUUUUAAAAAUUGUUUUUUAAGUUAUACGCGCAUACCAAAAUUCACGUUUCAAUUCACUGUCAUUUAAAUGUACGUGUAUUAUUGUCAAAAGGGCAAACUGUAAUUUUUUAGUACAAAAAAUAAACAAAAAUAUGUAUAUAUUUCGCGUUUUCCCCAUAAAACGCACAUUUUUGAAACAAAACUUUCAGUAAGUGGGGGGUCAUCAAAUAAUUUUUAAAAAAUUGUUUAUUUUUUAAAAGCCAAAAUUCCCUAUUCACUGUCAUUUAAAAGAUAUUAAAAACGCUCAAUUUAAUUCGAUUAUUAUUGUCAAAAAGGCAAACUGCAAUUUUUUAGUACAAAAAAUAAAACAUAUUUCGCGUUUUCCCCAUAAAACGCACAUUUUUGAAACAAAUUUAAAAAUUGUUUAUUUUUUAAAAGCCAAAAUUCCCUUUUCCAUUCACUGUCAUUUAAAAGCUAUUAAAAACACUCAAUUUAAAUCGGUUAUUAUGCAACGUAAAAAAGAUGAGUAUCAUAUUUUAAAAACAGGUAGAAACUAACCAAAAAAGUGAUAACCCAAACUGAAACCCACAAGAAAAGACGCGCACUGUAUAAAGGUAAUUAAAAUAUAAAACUUACCAGUUGUAGGGUCGUAGGGAAAUGGACAUCGCACUUCUGUAUUCAUUGCACUGAAUAUAGUCUAUAAUACACAUGCAACGUAUUUAUACACAUGCACUCCCUUCCAUGGUUGAAUUAAAAGUCGAAAAGGUCUUCUACCCACAAGCACCAACGCCGAUUUGAAUAGACGCGAUGUUGUCGCCAGACAACCGUGCAGGUAGGAGUCUCAAGGUCAACACGCUUUCACACGGGAACGCAACCGCUUCGGACGUUGGACGAACGUAUGUUGCCGCAAAAGAUCAAGGCCAACUUGCUUUCAUUUUUUACAAUCUCCGUAUGGGAUGUGGAAUUUCAUAACGCGCCGAGUCUAAAUGUCGAGUUGUUUUGCUUGUUGAGAAUAAUAAUUAAUUGCCCCCUUUAUAUUUGCUCCGUGGGAUUAACGUAAUGGGAAAAAUUUGUUGCAACGCAUGUGGAGGUGUCUUCGUUUGUUAACUUUUAGAAAGUAUUCUCGCACCGUAUAAAUACAUCUCAUUUUUCUCUGUUUUGUCAGUAGUUGUUUUUGGUAUUAUUCGUGCAACGUGGAAGCUAACUUAGUGGUUUGGUGUUCGUACAAAAAAGCAGUCCUAAAGAUCAUCUUAGUACUCUCAACCCGUAACCGCAAAUAGAAUAGCAGCAAUCUUAAGCAUGGACUUAAGUCAACUGAAUCAAACCUGUCUUGCAGAAGGUGAUUUUGAGCAGCCGAUUGUCAAACUGCAUGAAUUGCCGAUAGGCGUUCCGUUUAAAAUUACUAGAGCCAAAAUUGUUAAUACAAAAUUUGGCAAUUCCGUGUUGCUGCAAUUAGAAAAUUCCGUAGUAUUUCUUCCUACUCGCGUGACAGAAGCUUUCCGUCCGAGACUAGAACACUUUGCAUCGGGGCAGUACAAACUGGUCUACGAGGGAUCCAAAGAUAUUGGAAAGCCCAACUCUUUAAAGAAAUUCAAAAUAAUUCAAAAUUAAUCAACAUAUUAUACAGGAUUAUGGUCAAACAA